rnacentral:rRNA from 1 species
GGGUUGUGAGGUUAAGCGACUAAGCGUACACGGUGGAUGCCCUGGCAGUCAGAGGCGAUGAAGGACGUGCUAAUCUGCGAUAAGCGUCGGUAAGGUGAUAUGAACCGUUAUAACCGGCGAUUUCCGAAUGGGGAAACCCAGUGUGAUUCGUCACACUAUCAUUAACUGAAUCCAUAGGUUAAUGAGGCGAACCGGGGGAACUGAAACAUCUAAGUACCCCGAGGAAAAGAAAUCAACCGAGAUUCCCCCAGUAGCGGCGAGCGNNNNNNNNNNCCAUCCUCCAAGGCUAAAUACUCCUGACUGACCGAUAGUGAACCAGUACCGUGAGGGAAAGGCGAAAAGAACCCCGGCGAGGGGAGUGAAAAAGAACCUGAAACCGUGUACGUACAAGCAGUGGGAGCACGCUUAGGCGUGUGACUGCGUACCUUUUGUAUAAUGGGUCAGCGACUUAUAUUCUGUAGCAAGGUUAACCGAAUAGGGGAGCCGAAGGGAAACCGAGUCUUAACUGGGCGUUAAGUUGCAGGGUAUAGACCCGAAACCCGGUGAUCUAGCCAUGGGCAGGUUGAAGGUUGGGUAACACUAACUGGAGGACCGAACCGACUAAUGUUGAAAAAUUAGCGGAUGACUUGUGGCUGGGGGUGAAAGGCCAAUCAAACCGGGAGAUAGCUGGUUCUCCCCGAAAGCUAUUUAGGUAGCGCCUCGUGAAUUCAUCUCCGGGGGUAGAGCACUGUUUCGGCAAGGGGGUCAUCCCGACUUACCAACCCGAUGCAAACUGCGAAUACCGGAGAAUGUUAUCACGGGAGACACACGGCGGGUGCUAACGUCCGUCGUGAAGAGGGAAACAACCCAGACCGCCAGCUAAGGUCCCAAAGUCAUGGUUAAGUGGGAAACGAUGUGGGAAGGCCCAGACAGCCAGGAUGUUGGCUUAGAAGCAGCCAUCAUUUAAAGAAAGCGUAAUAGCUCACUGGUCGAGUCGGCCUGCGCGGAAGAUGUAACGGGGCUAAACCAUGCACCGAAGCUGCGGCAGCGACGCUUAUGCGUUGUUGGGUAGGGGAGCGUUCUGUAAGCCUGCGAAGGUGUGCUGUGAGGCAUGCUGGAGGUAUCAGAAGUGCGAAUGCUGACAUAAGUAACGAUAAAGCGGGUGAAAAGCCCGCUCGCCGGAAGACCAAGGGUUCCUGUCCAACGUUAAUCGGGGCAGGGUGAGUCGACCCCUAAGGCGAGGCCGAAAGGCGUAGUCGAUGGGAAACAGGUUAAUAUUCCUGUACUUGGUGUUACUGCGAAGGGGGGACGGAGAAGGCUAUGUUGGCCGGGCGACGGUUGUCCCGGUUUAAGCGUGUAGGCUGGUUUUCCAGGCAAAUCCGGAAAAUCAAGGCUGAGGCGUGAUGACGAGGCACUACGGUGCUGAAGCAACAAAUGCCCUGCUUCCAGGAAAAGCCUCUAAGCAUCAGGUAACAUCAAAUCGUACCCCAAACCGACACAGGUGGUCAGGUAGAGAAUACCAAGGCGCUUGAGAGAACUCGGGUGAAGGAACUAGGCAAAAUGGUGCCGUAACUUCGGGAGAAGGCACGCUGAUAUGUAGGUGAAGUCCCUUGCGGAUGGAGCUGAAAUCAGUCGAAGAUACCAGCUGGCUGCAACUGUUUAUUAAAAACACAGCACUGUGCAAACACGAAAGUGGACGUAUACGGUGUGACGCCUGCCCGGUGCCGGAAGGUUAAUUGAUGGGGUCAGCGCAAGCGAAGCUCUUGAUCGAAGCCCCGGUAAACGGCGGCCGUAACUAUAACGGUCCUAAGGUAGCGAAAUUCCUUGUCGGGUAAGUUCCGACCUGCACGAAUGGCGUAAUGAUGGCCAGGCUGUCUCCACCCGAGACUCAGUGAAAUUGAACUCGCUGUGAAGAUGCAGUGUACCCGCGGCAAGACGGAAAGACCCCGUGAACCUUUACUAUAGCUUGACACUGAACAUUGAGCCUUGAUGUGUAGGAUAGGUGGGAGGCUUUGAAGUGUGGACGCCAGUCUGCAUGGAGCCGGCCUUGAAAUACCACCCUUUAAUGUUUGAUGUUCUAACGUGGACCCGUGAUCCGGGUUGCGGACAGUGUCUGGUGGGUAGUUUGACUGGGGCGGUCUCCUCCUAAAGAGUAACGGAGGAGCACGAAGGUUGGCUAAUCCUGGUCGGACAUCAGGAGGUUAGUGCAAUGGCAUAAGCCAGCUUGACUGCGAGCGUGACGGCGCGAGCAGGUGCGAAAGCAGGUCAUAGUGAUCCGGUGGUUCUGAAUGGAAGGGCCAUCGCUCAACGGAUAAAAGGUACUCCGGGGAUAACAGGCUGAUACCGCCCAAGAGUUCAUAUCGACGGCGGUGUUUGGCACCUCGAUGUCGGCUCAUCACAUCCUGGGGCUGAAGUAGGUCCCAAGGGUAUGGCUGUUCGCCAUUUAAAGUGGUACGCGAGCUGGGUUUAGAACGUCGUGAGACAGUUCGGUCCCUAUCUGCCGUGGGCGCUGGAGAACUGAGGGGGGCUGCUCCUAGUACGAGAGGACCGGAGUGGACGCAUCACUGGUGUUCGGGUUGUCAUGCCAAUGGCACUGCCCGGUAGCUAAAUGCGGAAGAGAUAAGUGCUGAAAGCAUCUAAGCACGAAACUUGCCCCGAGAUGAGUUCUCCCUGACCCUUUAAGGGUCCUGAAGGAACGUUGAAGACGACGACGUUGAUAGGCCGGGUGUGUAAGCGCAGCGAUGCGUUGAGCUAACCGGUACUAAUGAACCGUGAGGCUUAACCUUACAACGCCGAAG